UAUUGGUCAAUGGUCGAGAGACUGAACCAGCCAAGUCGCGUGAAGGAAGACGGUACUAAGUAUUGUAAACUUCCUUUGAAUGGGGAUAACAUAGGGGACGAGUCCUUUCUUGCAGGUACCAUUCGAAUAAGCAUCGGCUAACUCCGUGCCAGCAGCCGCGGUAAUACGGAGGAUGCGAGCGUUAUCCGGAUUUAUUGGGUUUAAAGGGAGCGUAGGUUGUUUGAUAGGUCAGUGGUUAAAUCCCGGUGCUUAACAUCGGUUCGCCAUUGAAACUGUCAGACUUGAGUAUGGACGAGGUACGUGGAAUUCGUAGAGUAGCGGUGAAAUGCAUAGAUAUUACGAAGAACCCCGAUAGCGUAGGCAACGUACCAGGCCAUCACUGACACUGAUGCUCGAAAGUGUGGGUAUCAAACAGGAUUAGAUACCCUGGUAGUCCACACAGUAAACGAUGAAUACUCGCUGUAUGCGAUACACAGUAUGCGGCCAAGCGAAAGCGAUAAGUAUUCCACCUGGGGAGUACGCCGGCAACGGUGAAACUCAAAGGAAUUGACGGGGGCCCGCACAAGCAGAGGAACAUGUGGUUUAAUUCGAUGAUACGCGAGGAACCUUACCCGGGCUCGAACGGUGUUUGAAAGAGUGUGAAAGCAUUCCGCUAGCAAUAGCAGACAUCGAGGUGCUGCAUGGUUGUCGUCAGCUCGUGCCGUGAGGUGUCGGCUUAAGUGCCAUAACGAGCGCAACCCUUAUCUUUAGUUACCAUCAGGUUAAGCUGGGGACUCUAGAGAGACUGCCGCCGUAAGGUGAGAGGAAGGUGGGGAUGACGUCAAAUCAGCACGGCCCUUACGUCCGGGGCUACACACGUGUUACAAUGGGUGGGACAGAGAGUUGCUUAGUGGUAACACUUGGCUAAUCCCUAAACCCACUCCCAGUUCGGAUUGGAGUCUGCAACCCGACUCUAUGAAGCUGGAUUCGCUAGUAAUCGCGCAUCAGCCAUGGCGCGGUGAAUACGUUCCCGGGCCUUGUACACACCGCCCGUCAAGCCAUGGAAGCCGGGGGUACCUGAAGUACGUAACCGCAAGGAUCGUCCUAGGGUAAAACUGGUAACUGGGGCU
rnacentral:rRNA from 1 species